GAAAUGCGAUAAGUAAUGUGAAUUGCAGAAUUCAGUGAAUCAUCGAAUCUUUGAACGCACAUUGCGCCCGCCAGUAUUCUGGCGGGCAUGCCUGUCCGAACGUCAUUUCAACCAUCAAGCCCCCGGGCUUGUGUUGGGGACCUGCGGCUGCCCGCAGGCCCUGAAAACCAGUGGCGGGCUCGCUGUCACACCGAGCGUAGUAGCAAUCACCUCGCUCAGGGCGUGCUGCGGGUUCCGGCCGUUAAACAGCCUUACAAAACCCAAGGUUGACCUCGGAUCAGGUAGGAAGACCCGCUGAACUUAAGC
rnacentral:misc_RNA from 1 species